CAGCAGCCGCCGCGGUAAUACGUAGGGGGCGAGCGUUGUCCGAAGUUACUGGGCGUAAAGAGCGCGUAGGCGGGUCUUUAAGUGAGGGGUGAAAGGUUCAGUGCUCAACCCGGACACUGCCUUUCAUACUGGAGACCUUGAGUGUGGGAGAGGCGAGUGGAAUGGUCGGUGUAGCGGUGGAAUGCGUAGAUAUCGAUCGGAACACCCAUGGCGAAGGCAGCUCGCUGGCCUAUAACUGACGCUGAGGCGCGAAAGCGUGGGGAGCAAACAGGAUUAGAUACCCCCGUAGUCCCUGUCUCUUAUA
rnacentral:rRNA from 1 species